rnacentral:tRNA from 1 species
CAGAGAAUAGUUUAGUUUAGAAUACUAGCUUUGGGAGUUAGAGGUGGAAGUUAAAAUCUUUCUUUUCUGG